rnacentral:rRNA from 1 species
AAUGAACGCUGGCGGCGUGUCUUAAGCAUGCAAGUCGGGCGGCAAGCGGUAGCAAUACCGCCUAGAGCGGCGGACUGGUGAGUAACACGUGGGUGAUCUGCCUCGGGGUUGGGGAUAGCCAUUAGAAAUAGUGGGUAAUACCGAAUACGCUUCCACGAUUACGGUCAUGGAAGGAAAGGCGCUAAGGCGCCGACCUGAGAUGAGCCUGCGUCCCAUUAGCUAGUUGGUGAGGUAACGGCCCACCAAGGCGAUGAUGGGUAGGCGGCCUGAGAGGGUGUACGCCCACAUUGGGACUGAGAUACGGCCCAAACUCCUACGGGAGGCAGCAGCUAAGAAUAUUCCGCAAUGGACGAAAGUCUGACGGAGCGACGCCGCGUGGAUGAUGAAGGCCGGAAGGUUGUAAAAUCCUUUUGUCGGGGAAGAAUAAGCAUGGGAGGGAAUGCCCGUGUGAUGACAUGAACCGGCGAAUAAGCCCCGGCUAACUACGUGCCAGCAGCCGAC